rnacentral:rRNA from 1 species
GACGUAGGGCGCGAGCGUGUCCGGGUUUAUUGGGCGUAAAGAGCUCGUAGGCGGCUUGUCGCGUCGACUGUGAAAACUCGGGGCUCAACUCCGAGCUUGCAGUCGAUACGGGCAGGCUAGAGUUCGGUAGGGGAGACUGGAAUUCCUGGUGUAGCGGUGAAAUGCGCAGAUAUCGGGAAGAACACCCGUGGCGAAGGCGGUUCUCUGGGACGGUACUGACGCUGAGACGCGAAAGCGUGGGGAGCGAACAGG